rnacentral:rRNA from 1 species
GAUGAACGCUGGCGGCGUGCCUAAUACAUGCAAGUCGAGCGAACGGACGAGAAGCUUGCUUCUCUGGUGUUAGCGGCGGACGGGUGAGUAACACGUGGAUAGCCUACCUAUAAGACUGGGAUAACUUCGGGAAACCGGAGCUAAUACCGGAUGAUAUUUUGAACCGCAUGGUUCAAAAGUGAAAGACGGUCUUGCUGUCACUUAUAGAUGGAUCCGCGCUGCAUUAGCUAGUUGGUAAGGUAACGGCUUACCAAGGCAACGAUGCAUAGCCGACCUGAGAGGGUGAUCGGCCACACUGGAACUGAGACACGGUCCAGACUCCUACGGGAGGUAGCAGUGGGGAAUCUUCCGCAAUGGGCGAAAGCCUGACGGAGCAACGCCGCGUGAGUGAUGAAGGUCUUCGGAUCGUAAAACUCUGUUAUUAGGGAAGAACAUAUGUGUAAGUAACUGUGCACAUCUUGAUGGUACCUAAUCAGAAAGCCACGGCUAACUACGUG